rnacentral:rRNA from 1 species
ACCCGCUGAAUUUAAGCAUAUAAGUAAGUGGUGGAAAUUAAACCAAAUGGGAUAUCUUUAGUAAUUACGAAUGAACAAGGAUAUGCUUAGCUUGACAAAUGGAGCUAUUGGCUUUGAAUUGUAUUGUGGAAAUGUAUUACCAACAGAGGUGCAGGUGCCAGCAUAUUGAAAUAAAGCGUCAAUGAGGGUGAGAAUCCUGUUUGCCAUGUGCAGCCCUUUGUGCACGGUGUAUAUUUGCUGAGUCACACUCCUUGGCAUUGGAAUGCAAAGUGGGUGGUAAGUUUCAUGUAAAGGUAAACAUGCAACUGAGACUGAUAGCACACAAGUGCCAUGAGGGAAAUAUGAAAAAGGUUUUUGAAAAGAUAAUAAAAUGAGUUUGUAUUUGCUGAACACAAAGUAAACAGACUUGAUUUGCUUGGUGGGAGUGUUGCACUUGCUUGACAAGAGCUUUGGGCUGUGUGUGUAAUGAUUCGUUCUUUGCAUGCCAGUUUCUAUGUGUACAUCUGAUUACCUUUGCACAUGAAUGAUAAGUCUCCUGUGGGGGGUGUAUUGCAUGUGCAUGUAAUGAUGUGUGUUUUGAUAAAUGUGUAUGGUGUGUGUGUUUGUGUUCCUGUGAUUGGGGAUGCUUCCUUCCUUGGACUUACAAGCCCUGACACACACAUGCUGGCAAAAUGAUUAUGCUUGACCCGUCUUGAAACACGGACCAAGG